GGUGUCACCCUGUCGGGGUGUCACCGUGUCUGGGUGUCACAGUGUCGGGGUGUCACCGUGUGAGCACGGGGAUGCUGCUCCGUGGUGGCCACAGCUGAUGCUGCUGGGGAAGGCGAGGUGAACAGCUCCACCUUAAACUGCAGCCAGCUCCUUAAGCUUUCUCCUGGCCUCCUGCCACCGAAAAUGCUCCAGGCGGAGCUUUCAUCAGAAGGAAGCCUGUGCUUUGCGCUGUGGGGGAAGGGGUGGCCAGAAGAACGUUUCUCCAUUGAUUCUUUAAUUUUAAAAGUUCAUUUCUUGCACCGUGCUCGGCUUUUUGUUGUUGCUGUUUUGGCUUUUUUUUCUUUUUCUUUUUCUUUUUUUUCCCUUGACACAGUAAAUUUCAAAUUGAUUUUGCAGUCCUGUCCCCCACCAUCCUUGCACUCUCCCUUUCAAAGGUAAUUGAGACCAGAGGCUUCACUUGCCCCGCAGGCACCCCCUCAUCCCCUGUGAUGCUCCCUGAACGGGGUUUCACCAGGGACACGCUUGAGGGGGGGCAGCUCCCUUCAAGGACAUCCCUCCCUUCUCCCCUCCUCCCCAGAGGCGAUUUCGGGAUCAGGGAUGUGUCCCCUCCCGAGGCUCCUCGGAUGAGCCUGGAUGCCCUUUGCAAAGCACUGACACCCCCCAGCUCUGGGCUGUGCCCCCAGCCCAGCCCAACAGAGGGUCUAUUUGUCACCAGGCAUUUCCUGCUAAUCAGACCAUUAGUCCUUGUGCUGAUUAACCGGCUAGUUCUCAAUUUAAUUAAAACAUACGCUUUUUGGAAGAGCCAGGAGUUGCAAUCAUAUUUUAUUCUUAUCAUUCCAGAUCUGAUUGGCACUAACCAUAAGCACCAGGGGGAAACCAAAGCAAUUAACCCUUUCCCUUGAUGAGGGGAGCAUCUAGUUACUAAUUGACUGUUCUCCCAGGGAAGCUGCAGAUUUUUGUAACGCUGCUUUGCACCAGAGCCUGAAGACCUCAAGGCAUUUAUCCUUUUUCAGGAUUUCGUUCAAACACAGCGGCUUUGCAGGUCACACCAUCUUCCUAAGCUGCUGGACAGUGGGAGGCUUCGGGAGCCAAGUAGGAAUUUGGGGUAGGGAAGGACAUGAGCUGUGGCAAUUAACCCCGAGCUGUGCGUGUGUGUGAGGACAGAAAAGCCCCAAUGUUUGUCCUGCAGUGACAGCAGCGAGCCCUGGGCUCACCUGGGGGCUCACCUGGCCAUACCCAGCCCCGUGCCCGGAGCAUCGGCCCCACACGCUGCAGGGGAAUUCGGGACAGCGCUCGUUCUUUUCAAAGCAAAGCUUUGGUAUCUCAUUACCAACCUCAGAAAUAUUUGGCUAUAAUUUACUUUUGAGGUUUGGGCUAAGUCCAGGUACUCCAUCAAGAGAAAAGUCGAAGCUGAAUAAACGGGUUCAAGGUGAAACCUGUCCAGCCCCGGCUGCGGGGCGUUCCCCUGCCCCCGCCCGGGAUGCCGGGGGUGCUGGGAGAGCCCUUCGAAGAAAAACUGCUGCACGAAAGGCUUUGGAAAGUAUUCUCCAGAAACACUUAAUGGAUAUUGCUUCCAACAGGAAUGGUUUCCUAGAUCCAUCUUCCCAAACACAAAUGACCAGAUGGAAACAAACCCAGCCUGGCAUGCUGGAGAAGUCCUGCCCGAAAUCUCUCAGAUGGGAUCACGUUGGGUCCCAGCAGGAAUAUCCAUGUGGAAGUGCUGGGCAGCCCCGGGGCUGGGAUGGGCUGCUGCUGGAGGUGUUGGCCUCUUGCCUCAGCUCUCUGCUUUCAUUUUGGCCACCCCCUGAGAGCUCUAAUGGAAAUAGAAUCAUAGAAUCAUUAAUGCUGGAAAAAGACCUCUGAGAUCAUGGAUUCCAACCAUUAACCCAGCCCCACUGCCCAGCCCACCACUAAGCCGUGUCCCCAGGGGCCACAUCUACACAUCUGAGCACUUCCAGGGACAGUGACUCCACCAUUUCCCUGUCAGGGUGGUGAAGAUCUGGCAGAUUCUGUUUUCCAACAUUUCCUCACCUGUUUCAAGCACAUGAAUUGUGUUUGCACUGAAGGAAUUUGCACCGUGGCUGUGUGUGCAACAGCAGAGCAAGCUCACAGACUCACCCACCGCUGCUCCUGCCCAGCCCAUAACCUCUCCCUGCAUGGGAACGGGAUCUGCUGUUCAUCCUGGCCUUUGGGAUGAUCCCCCAAGGGAGUGCCUGGGGCUGCUGGAUGCGUGGACACUCUCACAGGAGCCGCUCUGGAGAGUCUCUGAUGGGACACAUCUCUCUGUGCUCGUAGCACAUUUCUCUCCUUGGAUCACUGCAACAUCAGCCAGAUGAGGAGGGACUGCGAGUGAUCACAAAAGCAAGGGAACUCCAUGGCUUCAGCAUGCUGGGAAUAUCAAGCUACUGUCUGGAAAAAUACAAAAAAAAAUGCUGUUGAUUCAUUCCUGCAGCCCCUGACAUAUAAAUUAGGUAACUAACAUGACCCGUGACUGUUUCUCUGAGAGACUGGCUGAGACAUGACAAAUAUGCCCUUCAACAUACCAGGGCUGAUUACUGAGAGUGCCAUGGGAAUAGCUCAGAGCCCCACAGUUACAUUAUAAUAAACAAGAUGCCACUGAAGGAAAACCACAGUGCUGUUGGAAAGCCCUGGGGUCGCAUCUGCCUGGCUGCAGAGGACCUGUGCUGGGAGCCCUUGGCAUGGCAGGAUAUGGGUGAUAUUCAGGGAGUCUUUAGGGAAAAUCCUUGCUCUCAAUGAUAGGAAAAAGACUUUAGACUGUUUUUUGUUUGAAGUAUGGGGUUCUGGUUUGUGUGCACAUCUUUCCUGGUCAGCAUUGUGGACAGAGGGUGUCUCUUUUCUGAGUUCCAGCUCUCCACAACCAUGAGCUCCUGUGCCCAGGAGUCAAACCUCCCAGCCCUUGGAGUCAUGCAAGCAGCUUUACAGACAUCCAAAAAAACCCAAACCAAA